GGCGGACGGGUGAGUAAUGCGUAGGAAUUUACCUCAAAGCGGGGGAUAGCCCGGAGAAAUCCGGACUAAUACCGCAUGUGCUCUACGGAGUAAAGCGGGCCUCUUCUUGAAAGCUCGCACUUUGAGAUAAGCCUACGUCGGAUUAGCUUGUUGGUAGGGUAAAAGCCUACCAAGGCGACGAUCCGUAGCUGGUUUGAGAGGAUGAUCAGCCACACUGGGACUGAGACACGGCCCAG
rnacentral:rRNA from 1 species